rnacentral:rRNA from 1 species
AGGCUCAUGCAUCGAUGAACAUCGCAGUGAAAUGCGAUAAGUAAUGUGAAUUGCAGAAUUACGUGAAUCAUUGAAUAUUUGAACGCACAGUGCGCCCUAUGAUAUUCCGUAGGGCAUGCCCGUCUGAGCGUAAGCUGGUCUUCUCAACCUCUUUUGCUUGUAUAACAUUGGAAAAGCAAUACACGGUCCAUUUGGACUCUGUAUGCUCUCCAGAAAUUGAUAGGCGGUACAGUUCUAGCAAACAAGACGUAAUAAUUCUUUAUCUCGUCCUUUAUUUUGGAGCUGGGCCUGCCUCUUAAUCGCACAUCUUUCAACAGACCUCAGAUCAGGUAGG